GGGGGUGUAAAGGUUUCGACGGGGGUUUAGCACCUGAGGUGGCGUGUCGUGUUACUCUGGGUCACGUAAAAACUGGGGAACUUAAAAUAAACGCAAACGAUAAUUACGCAUUAGCUGCCUAAUUGCAGCUUGUCCCUCUUAACCCUCCUGCCGGUUAAGACUGGACAUCAUCUAUGCAGGGAACUACUUUUUGGAUGCCGCGACUAAAAGUGGACUAAUUGUGGCUGGUUGAUAGCAUCGCCUGUUGCUCGGCUAUACUUGAGACGAGAUAAAUAAAGAGACAACUACACACGUAGAAGCAGCGGGGAAAGAGCUUUCGGACAGGGGUUCGACUCCCCUCAUCUCCACCA
rfam:Clostridium hiranonis DSM 13275 Scfld3 genomic scaffold, whole genome shotgun sequence.